rnacentral:lncRNA from 1 species
GCCUCUCUGAGCACCUCACCUUCCCCACUCUGCCUCAGGCAGUGCUUUCCUCUCUCUCUCUCUCUCUCUCUCUCUCUCUCUCUCUCUCUCUCUGUGCAGACUGAGUCAAGGAAACUUUUCAGCUAUUUACAGCUUUUAACAAUUGAGUAAAGCAUACUCCUGUGAACAAAAUUUGGAACAUAUUUGUUUCUCUCUACCUGAUUUCUCCACAAUUUGGAAACUAUGUAUAUCACCUUUUGUUGGACUCAAGAGUUAUGAAUGGCCCUCACCAUACUGAUGCUUUCUGACUGAGCUCCUCACUACCCUGAACACAAGAGGGAGGAAUAUCAUCGCCCCUAUUCAGCCUGGAGAAGUUACAAAAGAUGGAUCUUCGUCCCUCUGCAACCCUUAGGAUUAAUGGUUCUCCUAUAAAAGGGAUGGGGGGAAAAUGUCAGAGGCAUUUGAACAAGAGCAACUCCAUCUUAAAGAGGAGCUGGGUAAAAUAAGGCUGAAACCUACUGGGCUGCAUUCCCAGAUGGUUAAGGCAUUCUAAGUCACAGGAUGAGAUGGGAGGUUGGCACAAAAUACAGGUCAUAAAGACCCUGCUGAUAAAACAGGUUGCAGUAAAGAAGCUGGCCAAAACCCACCAAAACCAAGAUGGCAAUGAGACUGACCUCUGGUCGUCCUCACUGCUACACUCCCAUCAGUGCCAUGACAGUUUACAGAUGCCAUGGCAACAUCAGGAAGUUACCCUAUAUGGCCUAGAAAGGGGAGGCAUGAAUAAUCCACCUCUUGUUUAGCAUAUCAUCAAGAAAUAACCAUAAAAAUGGACAACCAGCAGCCCUGGGGACUGCUGUGCCUGUGGAGUAGCCAUUCUUUUAUUCCUUUACUUUUUUUUUUUUUUUUUUUUUUUGGAGACGAGUCUCGCUCAGUCACCCAGGCUGGAGUGCAGUGGCACUAUCUCGGCUCAUUGCAAGCUCCGCCUCCCAGGUUCACGCCAUUCUCCUGCCUCAGCCUCCCGUGUAGCUGGGACUACAGGUGCCCACCACUACGCCCAGCUAAUUUUCUUGUAUUUUUAGUAGAGACGGGGUUUCACCCUGUUAGCCAGGAUGGUCUCGAUCUCCUGACCUCGUGACCUGCCCAUCUCGGCCUCCCAAAGUGCUGGGAUUACAGGCGUGAGCCACCGCACCUGGCCUAUUCCUUUACUUUCUUAAUAAACUUGCGUUUACUUUGCACUGUGGACUCCGCCUGAAUUCUUUCUUGCAGGAGAUCCAAGAACCCUCUCUUGGGGUCUGGAUCAAAACUCCCUUUCCUGUAACAGUUUGCAGGAGAAUGUCUUCAAGGCCAGCAAGAAAAUACUGCUUCCACUCUGGCUUCCUCUGUCUCUGACAGCUAGACUCAGACUAAAAGGACUCAUAUGAUUAGGUCAGGCCCACUCAGAGAGCCUCCUGUUUGAUUAACACAAAGUCAUCUGAUGAGUAACCUUAAAUAGCUCUGCAAAAUCCCCUUGGCCAUGUAAGUUAACAUAAUUGUGGCAAUAAUAUCCUACCAUAUUCACAGGUUCUGCCCACGCUCAAGGGAAGAGAAGUUUAUAAGGCAUGUAUAUCGGGGGUGGGAAUGUUAGAAUUCUGCCUACCACAGUAAAAAUAGAGGAAAA